rnacentral:miRNA from 1 species
CUAUUAGGUUGGCGCAAAAGUAAUAGCGGUUUUUGCCAUUAAAAGUAAUGGCGAAAAUUGCAAUUACUUUUGAACCAACCUAAAUACUGUGUGUCCUUGAGCAAGUACUUAAGCUCUCUGUGCC